AUUGAUCGCUGGCGGCAUGCUUUACACAUGCAAGUCGGACGGCAGCACAGAGAAGCUUGCUUCUUGGGUGGCGAGUGGCGAACGGGUGAGUAACAUAUCGGAACGUACCGGGCAGUGGGGGGAUAACUAAUCGAAAGAUUAGCUAAUACCGCAUAUCUUCUGAGGAAGAAAGCAGGGGACCAUUUGGCCUUGCGCUGUUUGAGCGGCCGAUAUCUGAUUAGCUAGUUGGUGGGGUAAAGGCCUACCAAGGCGACGAUCAGUAGCGGGUUGAGAGGAUGAUCCGCCACACUGGGACUGAGACACGGCCCAGACUCCUACGGGAGGCAGCAGUGGGAAAUUUGGACAAAUGGGCGCAAAGC
rnacentral:rRNA from 1 species